rfam:Ascochyta rabiei strain ArDII scaffold_121, whole genome shotgun sequence.
AUUCCUGUGGCGCAGUGGUAGCGCGCCGUUCUUAUAAGAUUCGUCAGACUCUUAUGACUCAUCUGGGUUAUGCGGAUGCCGUGGGUUCGAUCCCCACCAGGUACG